AUUGAACGCUGGCGGCAGGCUUAACACAUGCAAGUCGAGCGGGCGAGGUUGCUUCGGUAACUGAGCUAGCGGCGGACGGGUGAGUAAUGCUUAGGAAUCUGCCUAUUAGUGGGGGACAACAUUCCGAAAGGGAUGCUAAUACCGCAUACGUCCUACGGGAGAAAGCAGGGGCUCUUUAUGACCUUGCGCUAAUAGAUGAGCCUAAGUCGGAUUAGCUAGUUGGUGGGGUAAAGGCCUACCAAGGCGACGAUCUGUAGCGGGUCUGAGAAGAUGACCCGCCGCACUGGGACUGAGACACGGCCCAGACUCCUACGGGAGGCAGCAGUGGGGAAUAUUGGACAAUGGGGGGAACCCUGAUCCAGCCAUGCCGCGUGUGUGAAGAAGGCCUUUUGGUUGUAAAGCACUUUAAGUGGGGAGGAGGCUUACCUGGUUAAUACCUGGGCUAAGUGGACGUUACCCACAGAAUAAGCACCGGCUAACUCUGUGCCAGCAGCCGCCGUAA
rnacentral:rRNA from 1 species